CACAUUGAAAGAAGCUGUGGGAAACCAGGACAAGCAGCCGCACAUUCCAUGUGUCAAAUUUUCCUCUCCUUUGGAUAUGAGAUAGAGAAGAAAAAAGUGUCAAAAAUUAUCUCACUGGAGAAAUGCUGUGCUUGCUGUUCAUUUUCACGUGGCAAUGCCAUAAAAGGAAUAACAUGAACGUGCUUUUGAAAUGAAAAAGGAGGACUAAGGUUCCUGGCACAAAGCUUCUAAAACUCUUGGACUUCCCAAGUGACAGAAGUGUCUUUGCUACUCAUGAGCCCCGUGGAUCACACCUGAAUUUAUGCUAUGAGAUGACUCAAGGUCAGCCUCUAAAUAGCUUCAGCAUGAGGGCUGGCCACCAGAAAGACCAACUACAAUUUUAGAGAGUUGGGACUUUGAGCCAGUCUGACCUCUAGGAAGAGGAGAAGGGUUGGAGAUUGAGUUCAAUCACAUGGCCAAUGAUUUACACAAUCAUGCCUAUGUAAUGAAACCCCAAAAACCCUCUGGACCCUGAAACUCAGUGGAGCCUCCUGGUAGAUGAAUACAUCAAUGUGCCAGGUGGAUCACCUGUCCUGAUUCCAUGGGAAGAGGGCAUGGAAGCUCUGCAUUCAGAACCCUCCCAGACCUUGGCCUUUGUGUCUCUUCAUUUGACUCAUCCUGAUCUGUAUACUUUGCAAUAAGAUUGUAAUCAUAAGUAUAGCACUUUCCUGAGGUCUGUGAUUCAGUCUAGCAAGUUAUCAAGCUUGAGAGAUUUGUGGGAACCCCUAAAUUUAGAGCUAGCUAGUCAGAGGUGCAAGUGGCCUGGGGACCCACGAUGUCUGGCUGGCAUUGAGGUGAGGGUAGUCUUGUGAAAGACUGAGCCCUUAACUUGUGGAGUCUGUGCUAAUUCCAGAAAGUUAGUGCCAGAAUUAAAUUGCAGUCUACCAGUCACUUCCAGAAUAAUCUCUAAUACAGCCCCAGAGGAUCAAGAAGAAGAACCUCAAGUCAUGAUGUUCCAGUUCCAGCACCUUCUGAGACUUGGCUCUAUUUCUUGCUCUUGGGUUUCACGUGAUCUGCAGGUGUUUUUCUAAUACAUUGAAAAUUUUACUUGAACUGGUUGGAGGGGGCUACUGUUUCAAUAAUCUCUUACAAAGAGUUAAAAUAGAACUUUGAAGGAAUGGGAUGUGAUGUAUGAAGCUGCUAUUUGCUAAUUUUUCUUAAACGUCAUAUAAAUACUGUAAUUAACAUUUUCCUUUUGUUUACAUCUGUGAGAAAUUAGUUCCCACAACAAAACCCCCCAAGUGGAGAUUUUUGAGGCAAGCAUGAUUUUACUAUUCUCUGAAAUUGUGCAACUUCAGUCUGCCAUGGCAGGUAGACUUUAUAGGUCUCUAGUUUUUCUCCAAUUUAGUUUCUUGACUUUGAAGUUUUAGUGGCUCCUUGUCUUAAGUCCAAAUUGUCAUAAACUCUUAGAAUAUGAAUGCAGGAAUGGACCCGAGGGACCAUCUGGUUGCCUCCUUUUAUUAUCACAAACAAAGACUCCAAGGAGCAGAGAAGUGAAACGUCUGGCUCAAGAUCAUAUUACUUAUUCCUGGCAGAGUCCAGAUUUGAAUAAUUUCCUAUUUUCUAAUACAAUAAGUUUAUUCUCGCUUUUCAGUGAUAAACCUGUUUACUAAGGAUUUAGUUAUUAUUUUUCCACUGCUAUAAAUGAAUGUGAGUUUCUGUUACAAAUUUUAAAAAAAUGGAUGUGGCCAUGAGUUAACACAAAAUCUUAUCAGGGAAGCUGCUUCCCACGUGAGGCUGCCUCAUCCACGUCUGUUUUUGGAGCCUGGUGCUCUGGUAAGUCUUAACUGGCUCAAAUAAAUGAACCCGUAAUA
rnacentral:lncRNA from 1 species